GUGAAGCUGCCUAAGAAACACAUUAUCAAAUACACUCAAUAUCACAUGAAGUUUGCGGAGACAAACGCUCAUCUAAUACAACAAUUUCGUCGCCAAGUACACACGUUGAGAAGUGAAGAGGUGAUUGCCAACCCAGAAUUGGAACUACGCAAGAUAUGUCGAUUCUUGAAUAUACAAUGUUCAACAAAAUAUGUCAGUGAUUGUAGCAGUAUUGUUAGGAGUAAAAUAUCAAGAUCAAGGAAUGGUAUUGUUUGGAAUAAGGAAGUCAAGAAUAUUAUAUUUAGUUAUAUAAAACGAAUUCCUUUUUAUCGAAAUUAUAAAUUUGAUGAAUAAUUGUAGUCAUGGAAGAAUAGUGCGUC